rnacentral:lncRNA from 1 species
AGAGAACUUGGAGUCUUCUGUUGAGCUGGAGACCAACGAAAUGAUCAGGCAGCAAUUUCUUUGUUCUGGAAAUUAGUUGAGACUAUUUAACAGCCUCGGGGGCCCUCCGCAGCACAGGGAACGAGGAUUCUCAGUAGAUAUUUCCUCUGCUGGAGGAGUAAAUCAUGUUGUGAGGAAAAUGAAACGGAGGAAGGUGUCCAUUUUAUUGGAGGAUGGGAUCUGCCAUUGGCCUGAGAAUCAUGACUUAACUAUACCGGCUGGCCAGCAAGCCCUGGGGAUCCCCAACAAAGGGAUUAUCUACAUAAGCUACCACACCUAACUAAAACAAUAAUCUGGCAUAGCUUCUGAGUAUUUGAACUCAGUUCUUCAUGCUUCCAAGUACUUUAAAGUACAAUAAAGGCAAGCACUUUGUUAACUGAGCCAUCUCCCCUACUUCCCUUUCUGGAAGCAAUUUGUGAGGUUGACUGGCUGGGUAUGAGGUCACUGCCAGGAUGUGACAAUUGAGAAGUAUAUUCACAGGAACACAAAUCAACAGACAAAUUUUGGGUGGGGAAUGGUUUUCCCAGCUUGUGUAAUAGUCUAUCCUGCUUAUCCAUGGGAAUAAUCUUUAGAAAUCUGGGUGCGGCAGGGCAAGAAUGGAUUUAGGAAGGUCGGGUAUUUGGCAAAUACAGUUUGUAGAAUCGCCAUCCCCAUCCACCAAGGACUUGUAUUUCUAAGAUACAAAUAGAAGAAGACAGAGGUUCUGGGCUUACAAAAUAGAAUGGACCCAAAGGCUAAUGCUACAAAUCUGUCUGGCAGACCCUAAACAGUCACAUGGUACUUUGCUCAUAGUAUUUGUUUCUCUCUUGCUUCAUGCUAGUAGCAUUUAUUUCUGCAUGGUGAACUUGAUUCUUUAAAUGUCAGCAACUUAAACACAGCACUCGGCUGUGCCACAAAUAACCCCAGCUCUGGGGUGCGUGAUACUUUACCGAAAACGUGAAAAUGCGCUUGUUUGUUUGGAUAACGUGAAGUGUUUUUGUUUCUUCAUUUCUGCUUUAAGUCUAAAGACUCUGGCAUCUACCUCAUCCGCCGUGCAUUUGAGGCUGGUAGCAAUAUUGGGAAAGAAAUAUGAUAAUGACCGCUGCCACCAAGCGCUCUCUUUCUCAGCUCCGGUUUCACAUGUGUUGGUUCAAUGGAAUAUUCAAUAGACAUUUAUAGGAAAUAAAUUGAGAGAUGAAUG